UAUCACAGCCAUAUCACCCUGCAGCUCAGAUACCCACUGAAGCUAAGCAGGGCUGAGCCUGGUCAGUAUCCUGGAUGGGAGACCACUUGGAAAAACCAGAUUGCUGUUGGAA
rnacentral:rRNA from 1 species